rnacentral:rRNA from 1 species
GACGAACGCUGGCGGCGUGCUUAACACAUGCAAGUCGAACGAAGUGGCGAACGGGUGAGUAACGUGUAAUCAACCUGCCCUUCAGAGGGGGACAACAGUUGGAGACGACUGCUAAUACCGCAUACUGAAGGAGGGGAUUGCGUCUGAUUAGCUAGUUGGGGGGGUAACGGCCCAACAAGGCGAUGAUCAGUAGCCGGUCUGAGAGGAUGAACGGGCACAUUGGGACUGAGGACCGGCCCCGAAUCCUACGGGAGGGCGCAGUGGGGGAACUUCCGCAAUGGACGAAAGUCUGACGGAGCAACGCCGCGUGAGUGAUGACGGCCUUCGGGUUGUAAAGCUCUGUUAAUCGGGACGCGGUACCGGAAUAGAAAGCCACGGCUAACUACGUGCCAGCAGCCGCGGUAAUUC